AUACGGAGGAUGCAAGCGUUAUCCGGAUUUAUUGGGUUUAAAGGGUGCGUAGGCGGGACUGUAAGUCAGGGGUGAAAUACUGCAGCUUAACUGUAGCAUUGCCUUUGAAAAUGCCGUUCUUGAGUACAGUUGAGGUAGGCGGAAUGUGGUGUGUAGCGGUGAAAUGCAUAGAUAUACCACAGAACGCCGAUUGCGAAGGCAGCUUACUAAGCUGUUACUGACGCUGAUGCACGAAAGCGUGGGGAUCAAACAGGAUUAGAUACCCUGGUAGUCCACGCUGUAAACGAUGAUUACUGGUUGUUAGCGAUAUAUAGCUAGUGACUGAGCGAAAGCAUUAAGUAAUCCACCUGGGGAGUACGUCGGCAACGAUGAAACUCAAAUGAAUUGGCGGGG
rnacentral:rRNA from 1 species